AUUGAACGCUGGCGGCAGGCCUAACACAUGCAAGUCGAGCGGAUGAAGGGAGCUUGCUCCUGGAUUCAGCGGCGGACGGGUGAGUAAUGCCUAGGAAUCUGCUGGUAGUGGGGGAUAACGUUCGGAAACGGGCGCUAAUACCGCAUACGUCCUGAGGGAGAAAGUGGGGGAUCUUCGGACCUCACGCUAUCAGGUGAGCCUAGGUCGGAUUAGCUAGUUGGUGGGGUAAAGGCCUACCAAGGCGACGAUCCGUAACUGGUCUGAGAGGAUGAUCAGUCACACUGGAACUGAGACACGGUCCAGACUCCUACGGGAGGCAGCAGUGGGGAAUAUUGGACAAUGGGCGAAAGCCUGAUCCAGCCAUGCCGCGUGUGUGAAGAAGGUCUUCGGAUUGUAAAGCACUUUAAGUUGGGAGGAAGGGCAGUAAGUUAAUACCUUGCUGUUUUGACGUUACCAACAGAAUAAGCACCGGCUAACUUCGUG
rnacentral:rRNA from 1 species